rnacentral:rRNA from 1 species
CCCUUAGAUGUUCUGGGCCGCACGCGCGCUACACUGAUGCAUUCAACGAGUCUAAAACCUGGUCUGAGAGGGCUGGGUAAUCUUUUGAAAGUGCAUCGUGAUUGGGAUAGAUGAUUGCAAUUCUUCAUCUUCAACGAGGAAUGCCUAGUAAACGCAAGUCAUCAGCUUGCAUUGAUUACGUCCCUGCCCUUUGUACACACCGCCCGUCGCUCCCACCGAUUGAACGAUCCGAUGAAAACUGUGGAUUGAGAGUCUGAGUGGGUUCGCCUACCUCAACUUUCGAGAAGCGGUUUAAAUCUUAUCGUUUAGAGGAAGGAGAAGUCGUAACA